rnacentral:rRNA from 1 species
GACGAACGCUGGCGGCGUGCUUAACACAUGCAAGUCGAACGAUGAAGCGGGUGCUUGCCCUCGUGGAUUAGUGGCGAACGGGCGAGUAACACGUGAGUAGCCUGUCCUUUUCUUUGGGAUAACGGCUGGAAACGGCUGCUAAUACUGGAUAUUCAGGCUGCAUCGCAUGGUGUGGUUUGGAAAGGUUUUUUCUGGGAUUGGGUGGGCUCGCGGCCUAUCAGCUUGUUGGUGGGGUGAUGGCUUACCAAGGCUUUGACGGGUAGCCGGCCUGAGAGGGUGGUCGGUCGCACUGGGACUGAGAUACGGCCCAGACUCCUACGGGAGGCAGCAGUGGGGAAUAUUGCACAAUGGACGAAAGUUUGAUGCAGCGACGCCGCGUGGAGGGUGUAGGCCUUCGGGUUGUGAACUCCUUUUUCUCGCGAAAAAGGCACAGUUUUGGCUGUGUUGAUGGUAGUGGGGGAAGAAGCGCCGGCUAACUACGUG